rnacentral:rRNA from 1 species
GAUGAACGCUGGCGGCGUGCCUAAUACAUGCAAGUCGAGCGAACAGACGAGGAGCUUGCUCCUCUGACGUUAGCGGCGGACGGGUGAGUAACACGUGGAUAACCUACCUAUAAGACUGGGAUAACUUCGGGAAACCGGAGCUAAUACCGGAUAAUAUAUUGAACCGCAUGGUUCAAUAGUGAAAGACGGUUUUGCUGUCACUUAUAGAUGGAUCCGCGCCGCAUUAGCUAGUUGGUAAGGUAACGGCUUACCAAGGCAACGAUGCGUAGCCGACCUGAGAGGGUGAUCGGCCACACUGGAUCUGAGACACGGUCCAGACUCCUACGGGAGGCAGCAGUAGGGAAUCUUCCGCAAUGGGCGAAAGCCUGACGGAGCAACGCCGCGUGAGUGAUGAAGGUCUUCGGAUCGUAAAACUCUGUUAUUAGGGAAGAACAAAUGUGUAAGUAACUAUGCACGUCUUGACGGUACCUAAGCAGAAAGCCACGGCUAACUACGU